AUUAUACUCCCUCCGUCUCAAAAUUCUUAUUUUUGAUUUGUCUAGAAACGGGUGUAUGAAAUCACGUUUUAGUAUUAGAUUCUAGACAAAUUUAAGACACAAAUUUUGGGACAGAGGGAGUACUAC
rnacentral:pre_miRNA from 1 species